rnacentral:rRNA from 1 species
AUGGGGCGUGUCGAUGAGAUCUCGGCCUCUCCCCGCCAGACCGCAACGUGCCUCCUCCGCCGGGCGUGCACUGAUACGACCUCAUCAUCCACGCCGAUAGAGUGGAGGACCGGACUCCACUCUCGCCGCGAUCCUCACACUCCGGCUAGAGCGGACUGCCAUCCUCCAAAAAAGAAGACAACCGCCCCAUGCCAAGGCUCUCUGAGCCGGGCUCUUGGGUGGCUGGCAUUGAGGAUGGCCAGAGCAGGACGAGACGUAGUGUCCUCCAAGUGGCCACGUCGGGAUGCAGCAGCUUCCCCAUCCUCGGCGAUAGGCGUGACCACAACGGGGAUGACAACGGCAGCCGUAGCAGCAGGUCCUGGAAAGACGCACUCCGGGGCCACGGCCGCCAGUCCAAGAGCAAGGCGCCUGAAGCGGUGGAGCAGCGCCACCGUAGCAGAACUCUUGGCCCGCGCCACCACAGGGCAGGCGCAAAGGGCCUGUCGGUGCAGCGUGCGACGCCGCCCCUACCCCUGGUGCCAAGAGCCCCCGCCCCCCUCCGAAAGAGGACCCGAUAUCUUCCUUCUUCACCUUCGCCGACUCAAGCAGGGCCAUCUCCCCCCACCGCGGACUGACUGCAUGCAGAUGGAAUUUGAGAACGCUAUGCUGGAGGCCCUGGCCACCCCUUUCGAUUUCGAGGAAGACGCCGGCGUCUCCAGCAAUAACAAGCGGGAGGCUGAGCACACCCCACUUGCGCUGCUCCCCAACAUCAUGCCCUGUGCCACCCAGCCAACUACUGCAGAGAUAUCAUUUCAGGUUGAGGCAGUCACCCAAAAGGUCAACACCAUGCAGAUUCGGAAGAGGUCGGGCACCACAGAUCUUCAGAGCCUCUUUGCCCAAAAGCCGGCUUCAGUGCUUGCCUCCCCAAAGCCGCCUCGCUCUUCAGCUCCCCCAAGACCAGAGCAACCUCAGUUCCCUCCCGCAUAA